UUUAUGGGGUGACUGCGUACCUUUUGUAUAAUGGGUCAGCGACUUAUAUUCUGUAGCAAGGUUAACCGAAUAGGGGAGCCGAAGGGAAACCGAGUCUUAACUGGGCGUUAAGUUGCAGGGUAUAGACCCGAAACCCGGUGAUCUAGCCAUGGGCAGGUUGAAGGUUGGGUAACACUAACUGGAGGACCGAACCGACUAAUGUUGAAAAAUUAGCGGAUGACUUGUGGCUGGGGGUGAAAGGCCAAUCAAACCGGGAGAUAGCUGGUUCUCCCCGAAAGCUAUUUAGGUAGCGCCUCGUGAAUUCAUCUCCGGGGGUAGAGCACUGUUUCGGCAAGGGGGUCAUCCCGACUUACCAACCCGAUGCAAACUGCGAAUACCGGAGAAUGUUAUCACGGGAGACACACGGCGGGUGCUAACGUCCGUCGUGAAGAGGGAAACAACCCAGACCGCCAGCUAAGGUCCCAAAGUCAUGGUUAAGUGGGAAACGAUGUGGGAAGGCCCAGACAGCCAGGAUGUUGGCUUAGAAGCAGCCAUCAUUUAAAGAAAGCGUAAUAGCUCACUGGUCGAGUCGGCCUGCGCGGAAGAUGUAACGGGGCUAAACCAUGCACCGAAGCUGCGGCAGCGACGCUUAUGCGUUGUUGGGUAGGGGAGCGUUCUGUAAGCCUGCGAAGGUGUGCUGUGAGGUAUGCUGGAGGUAUCAGAAGUGCGAAUGCUGACAUAAGUAACGAUAAAGCGGGUGAAAAGCCCGCUCGCCGGAAGACCAAGGGUUCCUGUCCAACGUUAAUCGGGGCAGGGUGAGUCGACCCCUAAGGCGAGGCCGAAAGGCGUAGUCGAUGGGAAACAGGUUAAUAUUCCUGUACUUGGUGUUACUGCGAAGGGGGGACGGAGAAGGCUAUGUUGGCCGGGCGACGGUUGUCCCGGUUUAAGCGUGUAGGCUGAUUUUCCAGGCAAAUCCGGAAAAUCAAGGCUGAGGCGUGAUGACGAGGCACUACGGUGCUGAAGCAACAAAUGCCCUGCUUCCAGGAAAAGCCUCUAAGCAUCAGGUAACAUCAAAUCGUACCCCAAACCGACACAGGUGGUCAGGUAGAGAAUACCAAGGCGCUUGAGAGAACUCGGGUGAAGGAACUAGGCAAAAUGGUGCCGUAACUUCGGGAGAAGGCACGCUGAUAUGUAGGUGAAGCGACUUGCUCGUGGAGCUGAAAUCAGUCGAAGAUACCAGCUGGCUGCAACUGUUUAUUAAAAACACAGCACUGUGCAAACACGAAAGUGGACGUAUACGGUGUGACGCCUGCCCGGUGCCGGAAGGUUAAUUGAUGGGGUUAGCGGUAACGCGAAGCUCUUGAUCGAAGCCCCGGUAAACGGCGGCCGUAACUAUAACGGUCCUAAGGUAGCGAAAUUCCUUGUCGGGUAAGUUCCGACCUGCACGAAUGGCGUAAUGAUGGCCAGGCUGUCUCCACCCGAGACUCAGUGAAAUUGAACUCGCUGUGAAGAUGCAGUGUACCCGCGGCAAGACGGAAAGACCCCGUGAACCUUUACUAUAGCUUGACACUGAACAUUGAGCCUUGAUGUGUAGGAUAGGUGGGAGGCUUUGAAGUGUGGACGCCAGUCUGCAUGGAGCCGGCCUUGAAAUACCACCCUUUAAUGUUUGAUGUUCUAACGUUGGCCCCUGAUCGGGGUUGCGGACAGUGUCUGGUGGGUAGUUUGACUGGGGCGGUCUCCUCCUAAAGAGUAACGGAGGAGCACGAAGGUUGGCUAAUCCUGGUCGGACAUCAGGAGGUUAGUGCAAUGGCAUAAGCCAGCUUGACUGCGAGCGUGACGGCGCGAGCAGGUGCGAAAGCAGGUCAUAGUGAUCCGGUGGUUCUGAAUGGAAGGGCCAUCGCUCAACGGAUAAAAGGUACUCCGGGGAUAACAGGCUGAUACCGCCCAAGAGUUCAUAUCGACGGCGGUGUUUGGCACCUCGAUGUCGGCUCAUCACAUCCUGGGGCUGAAGUAGGUCCCAAGGGUAUGGCUGUUCGCCAUUUAAAGUGGUACGCGAGCUGGGUUUAGAACGUCGUGAGACAGUUCGGUCCCUAUCUGCCGUGGGCGCUGGAGAACUGAGGGGGGCUGCUCCUAGUACGAGAGGACCGGAGUGGACGCAUCACUGGUGUUCGGGUUGUCAUGCCAAUGGCACUGCCCGGUAGCUAAAUGCGGAAGAGAUAAGUGCUGAAAGCAUCUAAGCACGAAACUUGCCCCGAGAUGAGUUCUCCCUGAGACUUAGAGUCUCCUGAAGGAACGUUGAAGACGACGACGUUGAUAGGCCGGGUGUGUAAGCGCAGCGAUGCGUUGAGCUAACCGGUACUAAUGAACCGUGAGGCUUAACCUU
rnacentral:rRNA from 1 species